rnacentral:rRNA from 1 species
AUUCUGCCGAACAGUAAAUUAUGGAUACCUUGGCUUCUAUACCGAAGAAGGGCGUGGCAAGCUGCGAUAAUCUAUGGGUAGCCGCAUGCAGGCUAUGAUCCAUAGGUACCCGAAUUGGAAUCCAUUCAUUGUCCAAAAAGCAAUGAAAGGCCCCUUAGGGCCGGGGAACCCUCCGAACGAAAGCAUUCAAGUAGGAGGUGGAAAAGAAAUCAAUUUCGAGAUUUCCUUAGUAACGGCGAGUAAAAAGGAAACAGGUCAAACCGAAUGAGUAUAAGAAAUUAUAUUCGGAUGUGGUGUUGAGGACUAGUGUCAACGCGUAAGUUUUAGAAACUGAAUUUUGUUUGGAACACAAAACCAUAGAGGGUGACAGUCCCGUAAGUGUAUAAAACAUGCUACGAGCAUUAGUAUCCAGACUAGGGCGGAUUGGUAAUUCCGUCCAAACCUCCAGAACCAACUGGAAAGCCUAAAUAUUAAUAGAAGACCGAUAGCGAACUAGUAACGUGAGUGAAAGGUGAAAAGUAGUGGUAAAACACAGUGAAAAGAGCUUGAAAUAAUUUACUUAAAGAGUGUAAUGGCGUCGAAGGAAAGAGACUCAUCGAAUCUAACGGUUGUGAAACCUUCUUGAGAGAUGAGUUUACCAGCGUCAUUGCGUCAGUCUUGAAACACUGGCCAGGGAGUUUAUUUAUGUGGUGAGGCUAAGAUCAUAUCUGUGCCGUAGGGAAACCAACCAGCCCGCAAUAUUAUGAGGGGCGACGUCUGAAAGGGCGUGAAAUCACAUGAAUAAGAUGCGAAACGAGUUGAUCUAUGCGUGGGCAGGUUGAAGCCUUGGGAAACUAAGGUGGAGGACCGAACGGUUGCUGAUAUACAACUCGCUCCGCUGACCUACGUAUAGUAGUCAAAGGCUAAUCUAAACUCGUGAUAGCACAUUAAAACCGAAGUGGUGCCGCAGACCAGCGUUGGACGAAAGAAAUUUGAAGGUAGAGUACAGACAGAGUCGGAAAGGGCCUUCACGGGCUCGCCACUCCAUCUAACUCCGAAUGUCAAAUUCUUGUAGACUCCAGCAGUCGGGUGGGUCGCCGUAAGGGUGAUCACCGAGAAGCGAAUAAGCUUGAUCUGGGUUAAGGGCCCCAAAUGUCAGUUAAGUGUUAAGCUGAAGGGCGUCGUAUCGCGAAGACAAUGAGGUGGUAAGCUUAGAAGCAGCUACCCAUUAAAAAGUUCGUACUAGAUUACUCAUCGAGCGGUACGGCCCUGAAAAUGGACGGGGCUCAAACUGACUCCCGAUACCCAGAGGCGUAUAUUAAUACGAUCCGGUAGGUUUUCGAUGGCAUAGGGUAGAAGCAGGUUGGAGAUGACCUGUGGACCUUUGUCAUGUGCAGAUCCUGGUAGUAGUAGGCAGAAAACAUGGGUGAAAACCCCAUGGGUCAAAAAGGCAAGGGUUCCGAGGCAAUGUCAAUCAGCCUCGGGUAAGCCGGUCCUAAGCGUAACCUUAUUAUGGUCAUCGCAAAAGGGAAGCAGGUUAAUAUUCCUGCGCUGCGCCUGAACUCGGUAACGAUAGAAUAUGAUCGGACGCUUGUAGAUAGGUUCUUGUGGACCGUCGUCCAGACUAAGUGUAUAAGUCCUAGGAGUUGCGUUGAGCAGAGAAUUGGACAAAAUCACGAAUGGCCACCCAAUAGUGGGGGGUUGAAUUGAUUUCUAAAAGCCCAUGAAAACGAUCAUAUUUACUAAUGGCGCAUCCGUACCUAAACCGACACGGGUGUCCUUAGGCUUAGAAGGCUAAGACCUCUUGGAGUAAUGUAGUUAAGGGAAUUCGGCAAAUUAGGCGAGUAACUUCGGGAUAAUCGCUGCCUUUAGACGUUUUGCGUCCGAAGGUGUCACUAACAUAGGGAACCCAACUGUUUAACAAAAACAUAGCAAACUGCUACGCGGAAACGCUUUGUAUAGUUUGUGAAUCCUGCUCCGUGCUCGUAAGUUAAAGCCGGGUACAACCGGCCUAAGCUCGAGUUAACAGCGGGAGUAACCAUGACUCUCUUAAGGUAGGCAAAUGCCUUGUCGGAUAAUUACCGACGUCCAUGAAGGGAACAAUGAGGUUCCCCCUGUCCCUAACUAGAAUCCAGUGAACCUACAGUCCGGCGAACAGUCCGGAGAGACCUGACGGGAAGAGAAGACCCUGAGAGCUUUACUACAGCUUCCAGUUGUGUAUGCGGUUAUCAUACAGAGCGUAGUUAGGAGACUUUGAAGAUUUAUCCCCGGGUAAAUUGGAGUCAACAAUGGAACACUAACUAUGAUGACUGCGUAUGCUCACCUGAUGCGUCGGGGACACCUGGAGGUGGGUAGUUUGGCUGGGGCGGCACGCCUCCGAUAAGAAAACAGAGGCGCCCAAAGGUUGACUCAGAAGGGUCAGAAAUCCUUCGUAGAGUGCAAGGGCAUAAGUCAGCUUUACUGUGAGCACGAAAAUCCUGCUCGCUGUUACGAAAGUAGGGCCUAGCGAUCCAUCCUGAUCCUCCUUGGUGGGGGCGGGUGGUGACAGAAAAGUUACCUCAGGGGUAACAGAGUUGUCGCGGGCUAAAGUUCACACGUUGGUUUUAUAACCUCGGUGAUUUAGUUCAUACAAACCCUUUACUUUUCUGAAAAUAUCGCAAAAUAGUUGUAUUAAAUACAACCUGUUCUUUAUCGUGUUUCUCCUGUGGAGAACCCACCAUAAAUUAAAACUAAAGUAGUUACAAGCUCGUGCCAAGCCGAAAACGGCACAAUAAAAUGGUCUAAACUCUCUUCAAAAGUUAUAAGAAUAACAAGAAUACAAGUAGAGAAAAAACUAACUUACACACACCUAAUCAAACUGUAAAGUUGAUGAUGAUGGUGUUGUUGGUCUGUUUCCCAACCAAUUCCUAUACUUAUAACCUAUGAAGGAACGAGUUACGAUCAGAAAAAGCGCGAGUUAGAUAUGUUUCAGUCAUACUGCAAAUUAUCUUACAAAGGGUUUGA